rnacentral:rRNA from 1 species
GACGAACGCUGGCGGCGCGCCUAACACAUGCAAGUCGAACGAGCGAGAGAGAGCUUGCUUUCUCGAGCGAGUGGCGAACGGGUGAGUAACGCGUGAGGAACCUGCCUCAAAGAGGGGGACAACAGUCGGAAACGACUGCUAAUACCGCAUAAGCCCACGGCUCGGCAUCGAGCAGAGGGAAAAGGAGCAAUCCGCUUUGAGAUGGCCUCGCGUCCGAUUAGCUAGUUGGUGAGGUAAUGGCCCACCAAGGCAACGAUCGGUAGCCGGACUGAGAGGUUGAACGGCCACAUUGGGACUGAGACACGGCCCAGACUCCUACGGGAGGCAGCAGUGGGGAAUAUUGCACAAUGGGGGAAACCCUGAUGCAGCGACGCCGCGUGGAGGAAGAAGGUCUUCGGAUUGUAAACUCCUGUUGU